AUUUCCCCACAUUUCCGCACAGGUCCUCUGCAGAUGGCAGAGCCCUUUCUCUAAAUGCAUGGCAUGAAAAGGCAUUUCAAAGGGAGAAGCAGGCCCCCCACAAAGGACAUAAAUCUCUACAGAUGAGGAUACCUCACUGGGCUUUUGUUUGUCAGCCAAAAAGGGAAAAACAUUUCAGCAGAGGCCUCAAAGGCAGAACAAAAUAGUGCAAGGAGCCGCACAUCCGCACAGGGCUGAGACCCUGCCCAGGACAAGCUCGACAAAAAAGAAGAAAAUUGGGUCUUGUUAUGUUGCCCAGGCUGGUCUCCAACUCCUGGCCUCAAGUGAUCCUCCCAGCUUGUCCUUCCAAAGUGUUGGGAUUAUAGGUGUGAGCCACUGUGCCUGGCCAUGUCUGAAUGUUGAAUGUUGACAGCUUCAGUGAAUUGACCCCUCUUUCACCUAUGGGACUUAUGAAGAGAGAAUGUUUCUGGCAUUGCAUAAUCCUUCCCAAGAGUACUUUAGCUGUGGUAACCCUUCUUGUUAUAAAACAUGCCAGGUAUGAUGAUGGAGAUCAGCUGAGCUGGACUUAGAAUCUUCUCUAAGAACAUUUACAGGCACUCAGUGUUAACAGCAGGGCAGAUGUAGGUUUCUGGGAACCUGAGGCUUAUAGGAACUGGAGUUCAUUGUAAGAAAAAGAAUAUCAAAUUAUGAAGACAAAAUUAGGCAUCAAUGUGAAUAUUAAUUUAGGAGAAAUCACAACAAAUCACACAUCCUGAAAAGCUAACAAAUACUGCAUACAUUGCAGAAUCUAGAAGCAUAACAAUAUUUGUAUUGGUUAACUUGGACGUAUCACUAUUGUAUGCUUUUUUUCUACAUUUUUGGGCUAUAUUUUUUUCCUAUUCUUUUUGAUUGAUGUCCUUGUAGUAGUGGCUACAUGUUAGUAGCCACUAACCCUAGUAGUAACUAAUCCUAGUAGUAGGGUUCAUGUUAUUGUUGUCGAUGUCUGUAUUUUGUGAUCAAAUCACCAAGAUUGCAAAUCCUUUUUUCAACAUAUUCAUAUGAUUCACUCCCCUUCAUUAAAUUGGGUUAUUCAAACAAUUAUGCUCCAAAUUUAUCUCUUCCUCUUAAUCAAGUACUAUUUUGGCAUGAUCUGAUUUUUAUAAUUAUUCUCUCUUCUCAUCUUUAUUAUUUAUAUUUUCUUAGCUAUUAUGAUUCUUCUUCUCAAUUUCAUGCUUUUGUCUAUCAGGCUUUUUAGCUUCUGUUGUGAUAGAACAAAAGAGUUUUUGACAUUUUGUAACUUCUUCCAGGCUUUUAUCUUUCGGUUUUUGUCUGAGACUUCUACUAGGAUGUUUUCUUCUCAACACACUUGAUUUUUGUAUAGUUAAUAAUUUUGAAAUAAAGGCAUUCUCAAGAGCAGUUCAAAUGC